rnacentral:rRNA from 1 species
UACGUAGGGUGCGAGCGUUGUCCGGAAUUAUUGGGCGUAAAGGGCUCGUAGGCGGUUUGUCGCGUCGGGAGUGAAAUCCACUGGCUUAACUGGUGGCUUGCUUUCGAUACGGGCAGACUGGAGGUAUGCAGGGGGAGAACGGAAUUCCUGGUGUAGCGGUGAAAUGCGCAGAUAUCAGGAGGAACACCGGUGGCGAAGGCGGUUUUCUCUGGGGCAUGUCCUGACGCUGAGGAGCGAAAAGUGUGGGGGAGCGAACAGG